rnacentral:lncRNA from 1 species
AGAAAUAAGAAAAUGCAUAAUUAAAAUUAGUUUUUAGGAAGAAAAAUGACAUUUUACAUUCUUUCAGGAAGAAAAAUAAUAAUUUUCUAUGAGAAACAAUUAUGAGAAAACAUUUGUCAGGUAGAGGCACAAGUGCAGAUUUCUCUGAGGCAAUGGUGUUUAAGUGGAAACAUUUAGUCAGGUGAGUGGGAGUUAGCUAGGACAAAAAUAGGAGAGAUGUAGGCAUUUUCAAUCUGGAGGAAUGAGAAGGGAGGAAGAUCAUAAAAUGAAAAGAGCAAGGAAUUUUGAGGAACUUGAAUAAGUUAGCAAAGUAGAAAGGGGAAUUAAGUAGGGUGAGAUGUUAAGAUUUAGGUUUUAUUUUAAGAUCAUUAGAAAAUAACCCAGUAAUUUCCAAUCUUGAAAUUAAUGCUCAGGAGAUAAUUUGAAGAGCAGAUUAGAAGGGCAAGGAGUCUCCAGGGGGAAGACCAAUUAGAAUGUUACUACCAGAUUCAAGAGCAUUUUGAUUUUGACUAGGUUAGUAGCAGUAGAAAUAAAGAUAAAUGUUGAACUUGAGUUCUAGUUAAAACAGAAGUAACAAUUGAUGUGAAUAUUUGGGGGGAUGUUGGUUGUGUUGAAGAAGAGGAUGGAAAGAAGACCAAGAAGAAACAGAGAGAUGGGAGGAAAACUGGAGAGUACAGUGUCAAAAAGCCGAAGGGAGAUAGUGUUUUACAAAAGUGUUCAACUGUGUCAAAAACUGCUGAGAAGAUCAAGAAAGAAAAAGGUGACAGACAUUCACCAUUAUAUUUUCUAACAUGAAGGCUUGUGUAAGAAGAAUUUUAGUAGAAUAAUGAGAGCUAAUGUGAGAUUAAAGUUCAUUAAGGAGUAGAGAUAGCAGGGUAAGCAACUAUUGGAGAAGUCUGUCAAGGGCAUAGCUCGGAACACAAAGAGUCAAUGACUAGUUACUUUUGGAUGUAGAUAAAAGGUCCCAAGUUAUUUGCUCUUUCUCCCAUUGAGAAGUGGUUUUUAGUUAUUCUUUCCUUGAUUUG